rnacentral:rRNA from 1 species
AGUCUGUUCGACUUUAAAGUUUACGUGAUUUGAGUUUAGGACGGCGUGAGCUAGUCUGGUUUCUAUG